AUUGAACGCUGGCGGCAGGCCUAAUACAUGCAAGUCGAGCGAGCGGCGGACGGGUGAGUAAUGUCUGGGACACUUCCUGAUGGAGGGGUAUAACUACUGGAAACUGUAGCUAAUCCCGCCUUCCCUCAGCUGUGCCCAGAUGGGUCUAGCUAGUAGGUGGGGUAAUGGCUCACCUAGGCGACGAUCCCUAGCUGGUCUGAGAGGAUGACCAGCCACACUGGAACUGAUACACGGCCCAGACUCCUACGGGAGGCAGCAGUGGGGAAUAUUGCACAAUGGGCGAAAGCCUGAUGCAGCCAUGCCGCGUGUGUGAAGAAGGCCUUCGGGUUGUAAAGCACUUUCAGCGAGGAGGCGUUACUCGCAGAAGAAGCACCGGCUAACUCCGUGCCAGCAGCCGCGGUAAUUC
rnacentral:rRNA from 1 species